UAAAGUGGAUUCUAGUACAAUGUGACUGGCUUAUUUUUAAGGAGCUUCAGACACAGAUACAGACAAGGGAAAGGAAAGACUGUGAGAAGAUGCAGUGAACACAGGGCCACCUGCAAGUCAAGGAGAGAGACCUCAGAAGAAACCAGCUCUGUUGACACCUGGAUCUUGGCCUUCUAGCCUCUCGAAAUAUGGAUCUCCAACAAUAUAGAAGUUCGCUAGAGGAUGGGGGGUGCUUCAAGGCUCAAUGAUCCUCUCCUUGCAGUGCAUAGCAACGCUGGUUUCUCCAUCAUGACUACCAUGUUCUGGAAGUGAAAUUGCUAGAGGUCUCCUGUGGUUACUGCGAAGAAUAAUGGUCUCCAAGAUGUCCAUGUCCUGAUCCCCAGAACCUGUGAAGGAUCUAGGAAAGAAUCCUUUCCAUCUCCAAAUGGCCUCCUGUCUUCCUUUACCGUGGCUCCUGCCGCCAUCUUCAAGGCCAGGUGCACCAAUUUCUGCCUCUGUCUCUCGUCUUCCUCUUUCACUUAGUAAGACUCUUGUAAUUGCACUGGAUCUAUGUGAAUAAUCUGCUCAUCUCAAGAUCUUGACCUUUCUCUUAAUCUCAUCUCCAAAGCCCCCUUUUGCCACUGAAAAGGUAAAUAUUCACAUGUUCAGAUUAACCAGUUAGACCUAUAUGUGUGUCUUAGAUAUUUAAAUGAAAAUCUUUAUCUGUUUUAGGUGGGCACAGUGUCACAUGUCAGCAACUUGGAGGGCGAGA